GCCUUACCGCUGACCAAGUGAAAUGUCCCAGCCUUCACAGGCCUGCAGCUGUGAGCUAACUGCACAAGUGUGAAGCUCACAGUGCUGGAAAACCUGUGACUGGCAAUGGGGAACCUGGGGCACAGCAAAGAUUGGCUGGAUUCCUUUCUGACUGCUUUAACCACUGGUCCAUCCCCCUCUUGAGAGCCUUGCUGUGGCAGAGGUGUGCCCCAAGGAGCAGCAGGGGGAGAGCUUUGCUCCACCCUCUGUGCUGAGGUUCAGAGGCUGCUUUGAGCUGGCAGAAGGGGAAGUGAACUCGCAAGCUUGAGCUCCCUCUUUCCAGGCACUCCGUGGGCACCCUGUGAAGGCGAGAGCGUGACAUGGUCCUGCUUUUUCUGGCAGCCUUGAUGGCACUGUCAGACUUUGGUCAUGCACAGGACUCUGUGCUGCAGUUUGCACAAGAAACUGCCAUCCAGGUGGGACACAACGCUACUCUGCACUGCAAUUUCUCCACCAGCAGCUCUGCUUUCUACAUCUUCUGGUACCAGCAGUGCCCGAAUCAGUCCCCUCAGUUUUUGCUGCAGGUGAGCACGUACAAGUUUCAUGGGGAUUCUGGGAGGUUCUCCUCUGUGCUCUCCAUGGAGAACUCCCAGGUGCUUCUCCACGUGCAAGAUGCCAGGCUCCAGGACAGCGCUGUCUACCUGUGUGCACUGAGCCCACACUGGUGCCUGCAGCAUGCAGCUUUAUACAGGAAGGUGCGGGUGCUGUGAGGAGCA